rnacentral:ribozyme from 1 species
UCAAGAGAAAGAAAGAAAAAGUUCUUGUAUUGGCUUGGACUUCUCAUUUCUUUGGACAAGAUUACAAUAAGCCUCAAGAAUGUUCGUGGCUCGGAAAGAAGCUUGAUUGCGUAUUUACGGAGGAUAAAUCAAAGCUUGACAUUGCUGAUGGAGUU